rnacentral:misc_RNA from 1 species
AACUUGCCUGCGGUGUGCCGUUGCCGGGUUUCACUAAACGAGCAUGAGGUGUUUUCGUGCUUCCUGCUGCGCGCCGCCGCCGAGGUCGCGUGCAUGCUCGACGGUAGCAAGCGUGCCAGAUACCAGCGAUCUCAUCAUUGUGCGUGAGUCGCCAAUUGACAACGUGGUGCUUCUCGAGAUGAACAGCGGGCGCGCCAACGUUCUGACGCCCAAGUUCAUUUCAGCGUUCCUGAACAAGCUUAGCGACCUGUGCGACCCAGAUAAGUCCAGGUGCAGCGGUAUUAUCCUCACAUCCAAGAACCCCGGUGUCUUCAGCGCCGGACUUGACCUCAACGAACUCAAUACGAACCUCUCGCAGGAUCGAUUUGCGCACUACUGGAGCCAGUUCCAGAAGCUCUUCACUACUUUGCACGCGCUGCCGGUACCACUGGUGAGCGCCAUUAACGGGCAUGCUGCGGCAGCCGGCUGCAUCGUUGCCCUCGCGUGCGACUACCGCGUCAUGGCAAGGCGACAUCCUACAAAGCCCGCCCACUUGACUAUUGGCAUUGCCGCUGCUAAGCACGGUUUUGUUGUGCCGUCUUACGUGGCUGCCUCGAUGGAGCACGUCGUGGGAUUUCGCAAAGCUGAGGAACUGCUCUGUACGGGCUUACUGCUGCCCGCCGACGAGGCCUUGCAGGUGGGACUUGUAGACGAGGUCGUGGAGCACCACGACGAGGCUGUUGUGCCGUGUCUGCAGUUCAUGGAGAAGCUGCUGGAGCUCCCCUCCCCCGCACCAUACUGGAUGAUCAAGGAUAUGUCACGUCGCCACAUCCUUGCCCCGCUGUGCACUCCGGCACUUCGAACGCAGGACACGGUCAGCUUCUACAACCUCUUCAGCAACCCGCAGGUGAAGAAGAAGUUAGCGGAACAUGCACAGAAGUUCGCUAAGAAGUAGGUAACACCACCUCCCUGUCACAAUCUUCUUUCUCGCGGCAAUGGCCAAUCAAGCGUGAAUGAUGUAGGCGAACAUAUCACACCUGCACGAGAACCCCCCAUUUGAGAGUUCGCAUCCUAAGCUCUCGCAAG